rnacentral:rRNA from 1 species
AUUGAACGCUGGCGGCAGGCCUAACACAUGCAAGUCGAGCGAGAAAGGUCUUCGGACUGAGUACAGCGGCGGACGGGUGAGUAACGCGUAGGAAUCUACCUGGUAGUGGGGGACAACAUGGGGAAACUCAUGCUAAUACCGCAUACGCCCUAUGGGGGGAAAGCGGGGGGACCUUCGGGCCUCGCGCUAUCAGAUGAGCCUGCGUAGGAUUAGCUUGUUGGUGAGGUAAAGGCUCACCAAGGCGACGAUCCUUAGCUGGUCUGAGAGGAUGAUCAGCCACACUGGGACUGAGACACGGCCCAGACUCCUACGGGAGGCAGCAGUGGGGAAUAUUGGACAAUGGGGGGAACCCUGGAUCCAGCAAUGCCGCGUGUGUGAAGAAGGCCUGCGGGUUGUAAAGCACUUAGUUAGGGAGGAGUGUUUGAGGUUAAGAGCUAUCAAGCAGGACGUUACCUAAAGAAU